UACGUAGGGUGCGAGCGUUAAUCGGAAUUACUGGGCGUAAAGCGUGCGCAGGCGGUUUGUUAAGCCAGAUGUGAAAGCCCCGGGCUCAACCUGGGAACUGCGUUUGGUACUGGCAAGCUAGAGUACGGCAGAGGGGGGUGGAAUUCCACGUGUAGCAGUGAAAUGCGUAGAGAUGUGGAGGAACACCGAUGGCGAAGGCAGCCCCCUGGGCCGAUACUGUCGCUCAGGCACGAAAGCGUGGGGAGCAAACAGG
rnacentral:rRNA from 1 species